rnacentral:tRNA from 1 species
GCCUCCGUAGCUCAGCUGGAUAGAGCAACGGACUUCUAAUCCGUAGGUCGCAGGUUCGACUCCUGCCGGGGGCGC